UAGGGAAUCUUCCGCAAUGGGCGAAAGUCUGACGGAGCAACGCCGCGUGAGUGAUGAGGGUCUUCGGAUCGUAAAACUCUGUUAUUAGGGAAGAACAAAUGUGUAAGUAACUAUGCACGUCUUGACGGUACCUAAUCAGAAAGCCACGGCUAACUACGUGCCAGCAGCCGCGGUAAUACGUAGGUGGCAAGCGUUAUCCGGAAUUAUUGGGCGUAAAGCGCGCGUAGGCGGUUUUUUAAGUCUGAUGUGAAAGCCCACGGCUCAACCGUGGAGGGUCAUUGGAAACUGGAAAACUUGAGUGCAGAAGAGGAAAGUGGAAUUCCAUGUGUAGCGGUGAAAUGCGCAGAGAUAUGGAGGAACACCAGUGGCGAAGGCGACUUUCUGGUCUGUAACUGACGCUGUUGUGCGAAAGCGUGGGGAUCAAACAGG
rnacentral:rRNA from 1 species